rnacentral:rRNA from 1 species
AUGAUUCCCCUUCGUCUCAGGGGUGAAGGGGUGAGCGACUGCCUGCGGAGAAGAAUUCGUGCACAGUGGGGCGACUUGAUUUCCUGGCCAUUGGAGUUUCUAAUGCAGCUAGCAGAUUCCAAUUCGUUGAGGAAGUUGACGAGAGCACAACCCAAAUGGAUCUGGUGUACACACACCGGGCGGCUGCGGCCGAGGUCGCAGCACCGGCGGUAA